UACAGGAGUUUCAGUUCAGUUGUAUUAGCAUUAGCCGCUAACAGCGCUAAGCACUAUCUCUUUUGCUGUUCAAAGAUGGUAAAGUAGGUGGGACCAUCACAGUGUCGUUAUUAGUGGCUGUAGCUGGGUAGACCUCAGUGACCGGGAUCUCAUACAGAGUCAAGAUGAAGACUGUGUGGAAAGAGGGCAGCUAUAAAACUUCUGGAGGUCUUCUGCUUCAGGUGAACAAUAUGGUCUCCUAUUGGAACAUAGUGGAAAAAACAUCUAAGUUGUCAAACUGCGCUUCACUCUUUCUGCUCUUCGCCUCCGUAACUGCUGGCCAGAGGAACUCUCACCGUCAGCUGGAGGAGCAGGAGGAUCCUCAGAUUCUUCAUUGCUUUUGUGUCUGACUUUAGAAGGGCUAGACAGGUUUGCAAUCCUAUAAAAUUUGUACAAAAAAACAAAAACAAAAACAAACAAUGACCAAUAAACGUAUAAAAACCUGUUCUAAUAAAUAAACU
rnacentral:lncRNA from 1 species